GACGAACGCUGGCGGCGUGCUUAACACAUGCAAGUCGAACGGAAAGGCCCUGCUUUUGUGGGGUGCUCGAGUGGCGAACGGGUGAGUAGCACGUGAGUAACCUGCCCUUGACUUUGGGAUAACUUCAGGAAACUGGGGCUAAUACCGGAUAGGAGCUCCUGCUGCAUGGUGGGGGUUGGAAAGUUUCGGCGGUUGGGGAUGGACUCGCGGCUUAUCAGCUUGUUGGUGGGGUAGUGGCUUACCAAGGCUUUGACGGGUAGCCGGCCUGAGAGGGUGACCGGCCACAUUGGGACUGAGAUACGGCCCAGACUCCUACGGGAGGCAGCAGUGGGGAAUAUUGCACAAUGGGCGGAGGCCUGAUGCAGCAACGCCGCGUGCGGGAUGACGGCCUUCGGGUUGUAAACCGCUUUCGCCUGUGACGAAACGUGAGUGACGGUAAUGGGUAAAGAAGCACCGGCUAACUACGUG
rnacentral:rRNA from 1 species